rnacentral:rRNA from 1 species
AAAGCGCGCGUAGGUGGUUUGUUAAGUUGGAUGUGAAAGCCCCGGGCUCAACCUGGGAACUGCAUUCAAAACUGACAAGCUAGAGUAUGGUAGAGGGUGGUGGAAUUUCCUGUGUAGCGGUGAAAUGCGUAGAUAUAGGAAGGAACACCAGUGGCGAAGGCGACCACCUGGACUGAUACUGACACUGAGGUGCGAAAGCGUGGGGAGCAAACAGGAUUAGAUACCCGUGU